rnacentral:rRNA from 1 species
UACAGAGGUCUCAAGCGUUGUUCGGAUUCAUUGGGCGUAAAGGGUGCGUAGGUGGCGGGGUAAGUCAGGUGUGAAAUCUCGGAGCUCAACUCCGAAACUGCACUUGAUACUGCCUUGCUUGAGUACUGGAGAGGAGAUUGGAAUUUACGGUGUGGCAGUGAAAUGCGUAGAUAUCGUAAGGAAGACCAGUGGCGAAGGCGAAUCUCUGGACAGUUACUGACACUGAGGCACGAAGGCCAGGGGAGCAAACGGG